CAGCAGCCGCGGUAAUACGGAGGGGGCUAGCGUUGUUCGGAAUUACUGGGCGUAAAGCGCUCGUAGGCGGCUUGGUAAGUUAGAGGUGAAAGCCUGGAGCUCAACUCCAGAAUUGCUUUUAAGACUGCCGAGCUAGCAGGUGAGAGAGGUAAGUGGAAUUCCGAGUGUAGAGGUGAAAUUCGUAGAUAUUCGGAAGAACACCAGUGGCGAAGGCGGCUUACUGGCUCAUACUGGACGCUGAGGUGCGAAAGCGUGGGGAGCAAACAGGAUUAGAGACCCCCGUAGUCCCUGUCUCUUAUAC
rnacentral:rRNA from 1 species